CCUAUGGGAUGCAGCAGUGAGGAAUAUUGGUCAAUGGGCGCGAGCCUGAACCAGCCAAGUCGCGUGAGGGAUGAAGGUUCUAUGGAUCGUAAACCUCUUUUAUAAGGGAAUAAAGUGUGGGACGUGUCCUAUUUUGUAUGUACCUUAUGAAUAAGGCUCGGCUAACUCCGUACCAGCAGCCGCGGUAAUACGGAGGAUCCGAGCGUUAUCCGGAUUUAUUGGGUUUAAAGGGUGCGUAGGCGGCCUUUUAAGUCAGCGGUGAAAGUCUGUGGCUCAACCAUAGAAUUGCCGUUGAUACUGGGGGGCUUGAGUAUGUUUGAGGCAGGCGGAAUGCGUGGUGUAGCGGUGAAAUGCUUAGAUAUCACGCAGAACCCCGAUGGCGAAGGCAGCCUGCCAAGCCAUGACUGACGCUGAUGCACGAAAGCGUGGGGAUCAAACAGGAUUAGAUACCCGGGUAGUC
rnacentral:rRNA from 1 species